UACGAAGGGGGCUAGCGUUGCUCGGAAUCACUGGGCUUAAAGGGCGCGUAGGCGGGCUGACAAGUCUGGGGUGAAAUGCCGCGGCUCAACCGUGGAACUGCCUUAGAUACUGUCGGCCUCGAGGAAGGUAGGGGCAUGCGGAACUGUAGGUGGAGCGGUGAAAUGCGUUGAUAUCUACAGGAACUCCGGUGGCGAAAGCGGCGUGCUGGACCUUUUCUGACGCUGAGGCGCGAAAGCUAGGGGAGCAAACGGG
rnacentral:rRNA from 1 species